rnacentral:rRNA from 1 species
GACGAACGCUGGCGGCGUGCUUAACACAUGCAAGUCGAACGGAAAGGCCCUGCUUUUGUGGGCUGCUCGAGUGGCGAACGGGUGAGUAACACGUGAGUAACCUGCCCUUGACUUUGGGAUAACUUCUGGAAACUGGGGCUAAUACCGGAUAGGAGCUCCUGCUGCAUGGUGGGGGUUGGAAAGUUUCGGUGGUUGGGGAUGGACGCGCGGCUUAUCAGCUUGAUGGUGUGGUAGUGGCUUCCGAAGGCCUAGGCGGUUAGCCGGCCUGGGAGGGUGACCGGCCACAUUGGGACUGAGAUAGGGCCCAGACUCCUACGGGAGGCAGCAGUGGAGAAUAGUGCGCAAUGGGCGGAAGCCUGAUGGAGCAAUGCCGCGUCCGGGAUGACGGCCUUCGGGUUGUAAACCGCUUUCGCCUGUGACGAAGCGUGAGUGACGGUAACGUGUAAAGAAGCACCGGCUAACUACGUG